AUGCGAAAGUCUAGAGAUCCCUUCAAGAAGAUUAGAGAUACCAAGGGAAUAUUUCAUGCAAAGAUGGGCUCGAUAAAGGACAGAAAUGGUAUGGACCUAACAGAAGCAGAAGAUAUUAAGAAGAGGUGGCAAGAAUACAUGGAAGAACUGUACAAAAAAGAUCUUCAUGACCCAGAUAAUCAUGAUGAUGUGAUCACUCAUCUAGAGACAGACAUCUUGGAAUGUGAAGUCAAGUGGGCCUUAGAACGCAUCACUAUGAACAAAGCUAGUGGAGGUGAUGGAAUUCCAGUUGAGCUGUUUCAAAUCCUGAAAGAUGAUGCUGUGAAAGUGCUGCACUCAACAUGCCAGCAAAUUUGGAAAACUCAGCAAUGGCCACAGGACUGGAAAAGAUCAGAUUUCAUUCCAAUCCCAAAGAAAGGCAAUGCAAAAGACUGUUCAAACUACCACACAAUUGCACUCAUCUCACAUGCUAGUAAAGUAAUGCUCAAAAUUCUCCAAGCCAGGCUUCAGCAAUACAUGAACCGUGAACUCCCUGAUGUUCAAGCUGGUUUUCGAAAAGGCAGAGGAACCAGAGAUCAAAUUUCCAACAUCCGCUGGAUCAUGGAAAAAGCAAGAGAGUUCCAGAAAAACAUCUUUUUCUGCUUUAUUGACUAUGCCAAAGCCUUUGACUGUGUGGAUCACAAUAAACUGUGGAAAAUUCUGAAAGAUAUGGGAAUCCCAGACCACCUAACCUGCCUCUUGAGAAAUCUGUAUGCAGGUCAGGAAGCAACAGUUAGCACUGGACAUGGAACAACAGACUGGUUCCAAAUAGGAAAAGGAGUACGUCAAGGCUGUAUAUUGUCACCCUGCUUAUUUAACUUAUAUGCAGAGUACAUCAUGAGAAACGCUGGCCUGGAAGAAACACAAGCUGGAAUCAAGAUUGCCGGGAGAAAUAUCAAAAACCUCAGAUAUGCAGAUGACACCACCGUUAAGGCAGAAAGUGAAGAGGAGCUAAAAAGCCUCUUGAUGAAAGUGAAAGAGGAGAGUGAAAAAGUUGGUUUAAAUCUCAACAUUCAGAAAACGAAGAUCAUGGCAUCUGGUCCCAUCACUUCAUGGGAAAUAGAGGGGGAAACAGUGGAAACAGUGUCAGACUUUAUGUUUUUGGGCUCCAAAAUCACUGCAGAUGGUGACUGCAGCCAUGAAAUUAAAAGGCGCUUACUCCUUGGAAGAGAAGUUAUGACCAACCUAGAUAGCAUAUUCAAAAGCAGAGACAUUACUUUGCCAACUAAGGUCCAUCUAGUCAAGGCUAUGGUUUUUCCAUUGGUCAUGUAUGGAUGUGAGAGUUGGACUGUGAAGAAGGCUGAGCACCGAAGAACUGAUGCGUUUGAACUGUGGUGUUGGAGAAGACUCUUGAGCAUCCCUUGGACUGCAAGGAGAUCUAUCCAGUCCAUUCUGAAGGAGAUCAGCCCUGGGAUUUCUUUGGAGGGAAUGAUGCUAAAGCUGAAGCUCCAGUACUUUGGACACCUCAUGCGAAGAGUUGACUCACUGGAAAAGACUCUGAUGCUGGGAGAGAUUGGGGGCAGGAGGAGAAGGGGACAACAGAGGAUGAAAUGGGUGGAUGGCAUCACUGACUUGAUGGACGUGAGUCUGAGUGAACUCCAGGGGAUGGUGUUGGACAGGGAGGCCUGGCGUGCUGCGAUUCAUGGGGUUGCAAAGAGUCAGACACGACUGAGCGACUGA
rnacentral:lncRNA from 1 species